UGGUAACAGAGGAGCAAAGUAGCGUGGGGAAUGUAGUAGUCCUUCUCUUCUGAGAACCAGGUACAUUCACUACAUGAUGUUAUGAUGUGGAAUACCAAUAACCGAAAAUCAUAAAAUCAUGACACAGAGGUCUCAUCUCCAGCCCAAGAGCUGCUGAAACCACAGGAAGACCUCAUGUUUCUCAUAAAUUAUUAAUUGCUCAGGAUCUGUUAACUGCUUAGCCUCAGCUUUAAUGCUUUUAUACGGUAUGCAUGUUUGAUAGCACCUGAAUUCUUCUGUUAUCCUGCACCACAGGCUGGUGACUUUAUAGCUCUGGACUGCGCUGAAAGCCCACAGUGUCCAGCAACCACCGAUGACCUCUUGUAAACUCCCAAAAUGUCAUAUAUAGACUCAGAUGGGCUGCCUCUGCAAUGGUAGGCAUUCUGAGAACGCACGUUGCCUGACAUCUUGAUGUUGUGGCAAAGCCAACACUUUGUCUAUUGUGAGCUCUGGCUAGCUGGACACAAGUGAGGUUACAGUCAGAUUUAGGUGGUGAUGGGCAUGUACAGACCAGAAUUAAGGGGCAGAGAAAUGUGGCUUUCCUUAUGGCCUUGCCUGAGUGAUUUUGACUCCCAGACCUGCCAUAGGACAGACAUCUUGUCUCUCUGCACUGCCAGCUUCAAAUGAACAAAUCACUUGUGUGUGAGUAUAUAUAGCAUGCCUUGCCUUUGGGAUAGCUAUUUCGGGUUAGCCAGCCUUUCUAUAAAUAAGCAGUCCCUCUGCAGUCCUGAGCCUGCACUUGCAGGGCCUAUCUCCAUACUGUGCUCCUUUGAGUCUGGCUCUCAAAUGCCCUGGGUGUUUCAGAGAUGAAUGGUUUGGGAGCUUGAGGCACGCUUUGAGUGAGGUGGGCACGCUGCCUGAGCAUCACUAUGGGCAUGCAGAGUGAACAUUGCUGAACCUGGCCCUGGGAGCAGGACAGCAAAUGCAGAGCUUCAGAAAUAGGCAGAGGCUCUUCUAUUUCUGCAUGCCAAUUUGUUUUGAGAAGAAACAUCUGAAACCACGGUAGGUACAGUGAAGUCAAAACAGUCAAUCCCCCAAGAGAUCACAAGAAAUUUUAUUACCUGCAAAUGGGCUCAUUUGCUAUCAAACCACCUUAAAGGUGCUGUUAAAAAACUAUGUUAAAAAACAUCAUAUAAGCUUAUGAAGGCUUAGUUUAGCCCUUCACUGCUGACAGGUAUAUGAUGUGCUAGGGUAGGAAUGGCCAACCCACUGGGACAACUCAUAGUAACUCAGAGCAAAAGAUCAUGCUGAACACAAAAGAAGGCAGUGCCUGCAUAAAGAUUUGUGCUGGAACUGUUGUGGGUUGGUAAAUCCCAGGGUAGUCCAUCUUCUCGCUGAUGGGAACCUCUUCCAGGCCUUCUCAAAAGGGUUCACCAUGCCUGUGCCGUUACAUUUAUAAACACUUGUUUGCAUUAUGAUUCUCAUAGAGAACAUGGAAGAAGCGAAUCACAAGGUCCUGGCUUUGAAUGCAGAUGCUUUUUGUAAGCAUCCUGUCUCUGCUGUUUCUCCUCCUGUGUGCCUGCAGUAAUGUCAUGAACUGAUACCACAAGAUCAACUGGAGUUCACCUGCCGAAGCCUGAAGACCAGCAGUAACCCACUGAUGAUCCCAUGGGCAAGUUGGCAAGAAAUCUGGACACUGGAGUAUUUGACAGCUCCUGCCCAACUUUUUUUGGCUCUUCAUUGAUGGAGAAUAGAGGAAAUAAUUCCUUUGCAUUCCUGCAGGGAAGGAUCAGAAGGUUUUUAAUACCGUAAUAAUUAAUGCUGCAGAACAGCCAACAGGAAAGUUGCAGAGGAUGGUAAUUGAAUGGGUGCAGGAGCUGACUGAUGAGUUGGCUUGGGGUGCACAGGGGCAGGGAAAACACCGUGAACAGAUGAGUCACUCCCAAAUGUCAUUCCUUAUUCCCUGAGCAUGGAAAAACAGGAAUGCUACAGAUGCUAAGAAAAUGUGUUAUGGCUUAAAAUCAGAGACACCCUUAGCUCUAAUGUACUGUAACAUCUGAAGUGUUUCAUUUCUACUUCCUUGGAUGUUUCUUACUGUUAUCUUCUUUCACUUCUGAGUUUAGGCCAACGUCUUUGUUUCAGGAAGCUAUAAUGACCUACCUUCCUGCCCUGCUCGUGAUUAGCACAGCUGGAACCCAAAUUCUUUAGCACCAACAUGGUUUAUUUUAGGUAAGCCAGGAAAUAUUAGCUGUCUGCUGCUGUUCUGGGUGUGUGAGCAGAGAGGUGAUAGGAGAUGGGGUACUGAUGUGCAGCUUCAAGUACAUAAUGCGGAACCACAAGGCACCAGAUACAGGAGCAGUUCUUUCUGUCAUUGAGUGCUUGGAACAGUUCCCUGAGAGGAGACAUGGCAAUAGGUGAGUGGAAGAUUCUGAGUCCUGAAUAAGUGUGGAAGAUCUCUAGAAGGAAAGCAUGGUUAUAUUUUCCUGCACUUCAGAAAAGGCACAUUUUUCUUUGAAAUCUGCAUGAAUCUGGAUGAAUUUCCACAGGGACAACAGAAGUCUCCUCCUUCCCCUUCUUCCACUCCAGCUAGGGAAUCAAACUGCAAUGUGAUGUUCACAUAAGCAUUUCCAAAACAAUGUUCACAUGCCAUUUUACGGAAUGGUAUGACUAAUUAGCGCAAACAAUCUGCUACAAACAAUUGAUGUUUUCAGACCAUAUGUUGUGGCUAUGUGUUACGGCAGUCCCAAACAACUUGAGUUUAAGAAAACUGGGAGGGCCUGUGUGGAAAAUGUAGCUCAGCUUGGAAUGUUUGGGACAGGAGUGGAGGAGGCCACACAGCGUGGAGCAGACAAAGCAUGGGAAAUCCAACAAGCAGGAAGUAUCCAGCCCUUGUAAGCAGGCCAUGUGCCCCUUGCUCUCGUGUCUAUGCACUGUCAGAGCGGCAAGGACACCAUGGCAGUGACACAAGGAAUACUUCCAUACAUUAAUCACGAAGAGAUGCAGAGCCAGCUUCAGCUGAUGUAAUGCAUUGUUUUUGCCAAAGCUAUCCCAGUUUAGUCCUGCUAAAGGAAAACAUCUGCUUUUUGACAGAUGUACAUGCAGCACUCCCAGAUGAAAUGUGCCUAUAGAUCUCUUGCUGCCUUUGGCCCAGGCUCUGGAAGGAAAGGUGCAGGGGUGCACUGCACGCCUUGGAGGUCUUCUCACUGCAUGAUCCUGCUGUCUGGAAUGGGAUUUUAUCCCCACAGCACUUCUGCUAAGUGAAAAGGUGAGUGUUGUUAGGCCAGGUGCAACUGAUGCAUGAUGUAUUCUUAAGAAGGUUCCUCAAAGAACAGCCUAGGGCUGUUUUAACAGUUAGCUUCACAGCAAGAGGAGAAGCCAGAGGAGGAGGAGCAGCCAGAUUUUGCAACUGGAGGGAGCAGAUAGUGGUACAGAUUACAAACAGCAGCCCGUGACGGUUUUCUGUGUGAGCCAGGUGCUGCCAUCAGCUGCUGUGCAGCAGCCUGGGACAGAUUUGUCUCCCUGUAACUACAGCUGCUGUGGAGCUGGCUUAAUUUUGCUUUGUGCCAAAAUGCUCAGAGCUGUGGUGUGUCUGCUCCUAAUCAGAUUAGGUCUGCAAAGGCUGCCAUGAGUGGGCUCCCACUGUAGCCCAAGACAGGCAGUUUUCAACAAGCUCAGUGAAAGUUUUUGAAUUGCAGGUGAGUUCCCUGCUUGGCACAGCAGUGUGAGAAUAAAAGAUUGCACUGCUGGGCUUAUGUUGUCCAAUCAGGACCAUCAGGACAACCUCUGCAGCUGCUGUGGUGCUGCUCAUGAUAGAUUCUCGUGUCCCAAGCCUCGUGGCAGGGAAGAGAGCAUGCGGUGUUUUAGCUAGUGCUAGUGUCGGCAGCCAAGCACUCAUGAUAAUGCUCACAGCUUCUUUUGGAUUUGUGUCCAGAACUUUGGCAAUAAACAUCUGAUUUCCAGACCGCAGUUACGUAUGACCUGUUAAGCUGUUAGCUUUUGUGCUAACUUGGCUCUAAACUUUACACAGAAUUAUCCGCAGAUCUUCUUCCAACGGAGUUUAUAGAAAAGAGAUGCAGUUGUUCUGUUUUUCACUGGACAAGCCAACUCAUUUCAGAAAAGGCUCUCCUGCUGCCUAUGUUAGCAGCUUUUUUCUCUACAGAUAUGCAAGUCUGAUUGCUUCUUAGCACAGGUAAGCAGACAAAGGGACACAAUUUUAGGUAAGGUCAUGUAGAUGUUCUGUGCUAUGGUAUAAAUAUUUGCAUUGGGAGACCCUUACCUGAAAUGUUCUAACAUUAAACAUAAUUCUUUGGUGUUUGUGUUGUGACGAUGGCACACAACCAAACCACGACUGAUUUACAAUCUCAGAACUUCCUCCUCUCUGUCAUUUCUAGCUGAUGAGAUCAUGAGCUUAGUCCUUGACAAGGGAUUUGCAGUCUGCUUGGUUUCAUUCCACUUGCGUCUCAAAUCCUUAACCUCUUCCCAUUCUUGUAUGACUUUACCUUUCUUUACUGAUGUUGUUUCAUACACGGUGUCAUCCAAGUAUUUCGUUAGUGCUAUCCUACUUGCAUCAGGGUACUAAUGAAAAUAUUAAAUGAAAUCAAGCCCAGAGCUUUGAAAGUCUCCCUCUGAAGGAAGAGUCUUCCUCAACAUUGAAAGAGGUCCAAUUCAGAGAUCUCAAGAUCCCCAAAGUGAAAAAGGUGUUUGGCUGCUGGUGUUGUGCAAUUUGUUUUUCUCUAGUCCUCUUGAAGUUCAUCUUUGAAGCCCACCAUUUUAAAGACUGUCAGCUCAAGCCCAUUGAUCCCCAUACUGGAGCUCCUUGGGAAGCUGCUAUCAGUUACGGUUUUGCUGUGAUCCCUCAUUGUGUAGCUACAAACCCCAGGACAGAAAAGUCAAAGCCAAGCAAGGUUCCUAGCCUGCCAGAGCUCCCCUGAUGCAAAUAACCACUCAGCUGACCUGACGAGUAAUGAAUCUCAUCCAGAAAAAUCUGCACAGACACUAGCAGUCUCCUGGGCCCUGUCUUGACACUGUUCAGAUGUGGCAACAUCUGAAAGCAUUUCCCACGAGAGUUCAUUUGCUGAGGAAGAUCAUCAUGGGCUCCUUAGGAGGUGUAAUAAAGUAGAAGCCCUUUAGCUGCCCAAGUGUUUUUUCUGAAGUACUUCAGUACCAGCACAUAUUUGUCUGUGAUGUAAUUUUUUUCCAUUAAUAAAUCCACAGACUCUGCAGGAUACCACUGCUGUUAUGUUUGCAAAAAAUUACCAUGUUAAUGGAGCUCUGCUCCUUUCAAGGAUCUUGGCAAUAUGAAAUAUUGGCCUCUUAGGUGUAGAUUUUCUGAAGUAUUUAAGCACUCCACUCUCCUUGGACUAAUGGACAUCUUGUUAAAGCUGUCACACUUCCUUUCUGGCUCACCAGAUGCUGUGAUGUUACAGUGGAACAGAAGGUGAUCCUGUGUUUUUUUUCAAUGCUGUCAGCUAGCCACUGGUUUCCUCUAUCCCAGGGUUUAACGCUAAUAGAAAUGUAAUCAUACUUUGCUGCACAAAACAUAAAGCCAUCCAUUUUAUUAUGUAGAAAUGGUCUACUGAGUACACAAGCAGCAGUAGUUUUAACAGCUGAUGGCUUGUUCUGGCUCUCGAGAGUGUGGUUUUACAAGAUGGUUUGGUUUAAGAGCAACACAGAGGGAAAAUUGUAUCUUUGGGAUGUGCUCUGCAUGAAACGGCCUCCUUGUACACAGGAUAUUGGAGAAUUAUGCUCUUAAAAUAAAGCCCUUUGAAACUGGCACGGGAUACUCAGUCUUGCUUGAGUAUCAUUAAUCAGUUAUUACUCUCAGACAAAAUGGGUCUCGACUUCAUGUUGCUUGUUAAAAUAAGAAAUGUAUAUUCCAGUACUUUCAGCUGCAGUCACUGUACUUCAUAGUGUAGCCAAAACUAAUGUAUUUAAUCAUUAUUUCACAUUUUUUUUGGACAAAUUCUAUAUAUAUAGCAAUUUUACAACAAGAUGUCUUAUUUUUACUAUAUUAAAAGAAAUGAUUACUGUGUCUGGAAUGCAAGCAAAAAGCAGGAUUCCUUAAACUACAGUGCACGUUCAAUGCGUGAUUUGAAUUCUGACUGUAUCACUCAGUAGCUUAUUCUCUUCCAAGUUCUGUGCUUUUUUUUUUUUUUUUUUUUUACGAAGUCCUCUCAAUGGUAGAUAGACAUAAAUCUGCUCUAUGCAAACCUCAGAUUGGCUCUGAGGGGCCCAAGGCUUUCAGGCAAGCAGCAAGAAUGCAAAUCAUACUUCACUGCUGAACUGGAAAUUCCUUGCAUGGGUACAGUGAUGCAGCUGCACAGGUGGCUGAAAUCCCUGGGUAACACGGGCCUAAAAAUAAGGCACUGCCCUGUGUCUUUAGCCAGAAUUCCUCAAAGGGCAGGGGCAAAUCCAAGGAUAAGGUCUCUGGAAACAAGUUACACAGAGCCUGAAACAGCAAUAGUGCUAAGCAAAGUCUCUGGGAGAUGAGGAUGGUUGCAAAAGGGAAACCUGCAGGAUAGCAAAGAAAACAAGUCACAGUGAGUGCUCUCAUAGCAGGGCCUGAAUCCAUUUUAAGGCCCCUGCAAUGCCUUGCAGAGCAUGUGGGUUUUUGGGGUUUUUUUUUGUUUGUUUGUUUUUGUUUUUCACUUGUGUGAAAUCAGAGUAAACUUGACUCCAAAUCUCAGGACAUGGAUUGUCCCAAGCAAAGCAGGAAACUGGUGUAGCCCAAGCAAAGAGGGAAACUGGUGUAGCUGCUUCUUCUGAUUAGAAAGUUAUUAACUCCUUGUAAAGAUCAGUGGUACCAGAUGCAAGAAAUAGUAUUGAUCCAAUACCACUGCUGAGUCAUGAUAAAAGUGAUGCAUGCCCUACAGCUACAACACAAGCUCUGAGAAAUUAGUAGACGUUUAACCAGAGCAUUUAACUGGAGCUGAAGCAGGGUGAAGGAGAGGAUGAGAUUGGGGUUUCCUCUUGAAAGUAAUGCUGAACAGGAUAAACCUGCGCAGGACCGUGGGACUGCAGUUCAGGCUACAGGUGAUAGGGCCAGGGGGUGCACCCCAGCUAUGCCCAUGGGGGUGGCUGGUUCCAGUGUGUCUUCCAGGGCUUAGUUUAGAGUUUGCCUUUACUCAAGUCCUCUGAAGGUGGUGGCUGUCCAUCAAAGACCUUGCCAAGCUUUGUGCACAGCCUUUCUGAAUGCAGCACAUUGCCCUGCUAAGGAGUGAAGACAAAAGAUUCAGCGCAGGCACCAGCUAUAAAUAGUCACCUUGAUGUCAGUCAUAUAAAAAGCAACAUGUGACAAUUAAAUAGUUUCUGGAGAACAAGUAGCAGCCUGGAUUGUAUGGAGGGCAUCUAUACCCAUUUGGGGAGAGGGAUUCUGCUAGAACUAGUUUUUUUUCCUGGAGCAGCAACCAGUUGCUUUAUGUUCUAAUAAGUGCCCUCUUGGGAAGGUUGAUAUAUUUAACUGUUUGACAUGGUUUUGAAUUUGAGGACCAGUCUUUUGCACAAAUGACCCAAAUCUCAAUUGCUGUAUGUGAAAACUUCCAGAUAAAUGUUGGCUUUGGAUGUGCAUGGACUGCCGGCUCCAGUCCGACUGAGAAGAAACCUGAGGGCAGUGAUGUCGUGGCAAUUUCUGAUUUUAGAAUGGGUCUGAUCUGUAAUUUACAGCUGCCCUGGACUCUGGGUGUUUUCCUGGCUUUUCUAAGCUCUGAAUGUAAGCCUCUGAAAGAUUUAAGACUUGGAAAAACAAAAACCUAUAUAAGCUCUCAAGUGUCGGUCUUGGUUUGGUUGGGCCGUAUCUGCAAACCACCAGCAGCCUGGCAGGGCUCUGGGGUGGUUUGCAGUGGGAUGGAGCUCUGGAGUCAUCACAGGGCAGCACAGGAAUCAGCUCUUGCAUCAUAGAAUCAUUAAGUUUAGAAAAGACCACUAAGAUCAUCUAGUCCAACCGUCAACCCAUCCCCACCAUGCCCACUUAAACUAUGACCCUCCAGCACCACAUCAUCUCAGGAAACGCUGGGGCUACUCAGAGCUGGCUAGCACUGCCUUCUACUUUUAUCAAGUUUGAAUUUAUAAUAAAGUUAAGUCACGGAGAUUAAA